AACCAGAAGGCGCAAUGAAAGUGAAGGCACGGCCGCCGUGCCGAGGUGAGAGCUGCCCCCGGCAGCGCAUCAUCGACCGAUCCCAUCCGCUCCCUUCGGUGCGGCGGGAUUCGAGUAAGAGUGUACCUGUUGCGACCCGAAAGAUGGUGAACUAUGCCUGAAUAGGGUGAAGCCAGAGGAAACUCUGGUGGAGGCCCGUAGCGAUUCUGACGUGCAAAUCGAUCGUCAAAUUUGGGUAUAGGGGCGAAAGACUAAUCGAACCAUCUAGUAGCUGGUUCCCUCCGAAGUUUCCCUCAGGAUAGCUGUAGCCCGAAGCAGUUUUAUCAGGUAAAGCGAAUGAUUAGAGGUAUCGGGGAAGAAACUUCCUCGACCUAUUCUCAAACUUUAAAUAGGUAAGAAGUCCGACUUGCUCGAUUUGAAGCCGGACACAGAAUGCUGGGUUACUAGUGGGCCAUUUUUGGUAAGCAGAACUGGCGAUGCGGGAUGAACCGAACGCCGAGUUAAGGUGCCAAAGUCGACGCUCAUCAGAUCCCACAAA
rnacentral:rRNA from 1 species